ACCUCUGUUCAGGUGAGACUACCCCCUGAAUUUA
rnacentral:rRNA from 1 species